rnacentral:tRNA from 1 species
GAUAAUGUGGCCGAGAGUUAAGCGUUGGAUUGUAAAUCCAUUUUAUGGGGGUUCGAGUCCUUCCGUUAUCA